rnacentral:lncRNA from 1 species
CAAAGAAACUAGUUUCUUGAGAUAGAAUCUAUUCCUUGUGAAUACUGUUGAAAUGACAACAAAGGAUUUGGAAUAUUCCAUAUACUUACGUGAUAAGGCAGAAGCAGUGUUUGAGGGAAUUGACUACAAUUUUAAAAGAUGUUUUCUUAUAGAAACCGCCACAGCCACCCCAGCCUUCAGCAACCACCACCCUUAUCAGUCAGCUGCUAUCAACAUCGAGGCAAGAUCCUUCACCAGAAAAAUGAAUGCAACUCACUAAAGGCUCAGAUAAUUGUUAGCCUAUUUUAGUAAUAAAAUAUUUUUAAUAAGGUA